AGAGUUUGAUCAUGGCUCAGAACGAACGUUGGCGGCGUGCUUAACACAUGCAAGUCGAACGAGAACGGCUUCUUCGGGAACUCAGUAAAGUGGCGCACGGGUGAGUAACGCGUAAGUAAUCUACCCUCGCAUCUGGAAUAACUACGGGAAGCUGUAGCUAAUACCGGAUACGAUCAUAUAGUUACGAUUAUAUGAAGAAAGAUGGCCUCUUCUUGAAAGCUAUCGUGCGGGGAGGAGCUUGCGUACCAUUAGCUAGUUGGUAGGGUAAUGGCCUACCAAGGCAACGAUGGUUAGCGGGUCUGAGAGGAUGAUCCGCCACACUGGAACUGGAACACGGACCAGACUCCUACGGGAGGCAGCAGUGAGGAAUAUUGCGCAAUGGGGGAAACCCUGACGCAGCGACGCCGCGUGGAUGAUGAAGGCCCUUGGGUCGUAAAAUCCUGUCAGGUGGGAAGAAAUGCAUAUGGGUUAAUAACUCUUAUGUUUGACGGUACCACCAAAGGAAGCACCGGCUAACCCCGUGCCAGCAGCCGCGGUAAUACGGGGGGUGCAAACGUUGUUCGGAAUUACUGGGCGUAAAGCGCGCGUAGGCGGUUUGUUAAGUCAGAUGUGAAAGUCCACAGCUCAA
rnacentral:rRNA from 1 species